rnacentral:rRNA from 1 species
CAGUGGGGAAUAUUGGACAAUGGGCGAAAGCUUGAUCCAGCCAUGCCGCGUGUGUGAAGAAGGCCUUUUGGUUGUAAAGCACUUUAAGCGAGGAGGAGGCUACUUGGAUUAAUACUCUAGGAUAGUGGACGUUACUCGCAGAAUAAGCACCGGCUAACUCUGUGCCAGCAGCCGCGGUAAUACAGAGGGUGCGAGCGUUAAUCGGAUUUACUGGGCGUAAAGCGUGCGUAGGCGGCUUUUUAAGUCGGAUGUGAAAUCCCUGAGCUUAACUUAGGAAUUGCAUUCGAUACUGGGAAGCUAGAGUAUGGGAGAGGAUGGUAGAAUUCCAGGUGUAGCGGUGAAAUGCGUAGAGAUCUGGAGGAAUACCGAUGGCGAAGGCAGCCAUCUGGCCUAAUACUGACGCUGAGGUACGAAAGCAUGGGGAGCAAACAGGAUUAGAUACCCUGGUAGUCCAUGCCGUAAACGAUGUCUACUAGCCGUUGGGGCCUUUGAGGCUUUAGUGGCGCAGCUAACGCGAUAAGUAGACCGCCUGGGGAGUACGGUCGCAAGACUAAAACUCAAAUGAAUUGACGGGGGCCCGCACAAGCGGUGGAGCAUGUGGUUUAAUUCGAUGCAACGCGAAGAACCUUACCUGGUCUUGACAUAGUAAGAACUUCCAGAGAUGGAU